GGCGGUCUAAUGGAAAGGGCACAGGCCUGGGAGUCCUGGGACCUGGGUUCUAAUCCCAGGUCUGCCA
rnacentral:tRNA from 1 species